rnacentral:rRNA from 1 species
AUUGAACGCUAGCGGCAGGCCUAACACAUGCAAGUCGAGCGGAGCGGCGGACGGGUGAGUAAUGCCUAGGAAUCUGCCUGGUAGUUGGGGAUAACGUCCGGAAACGGGCGCUAAUACCGCAUACUAUCAGAUGAGCCUCGGCAGGAUUAGCUAGUUGGUGGGGUAAAGGCCUACCAAGGCAACGAGCCGUAACUGGUCUGUGAGGAUGCGCAGGCACACGGGAACGUAGACACGGUCCAUACUCCUACGAGAAGCAGCAGUGGGGAAUAGUGGACAAUGGGCGAAAGCCUGAUACAGCCGUGCAGCGUGUGUGAAGAAGGUCGUCGGAUUUUAAAGCACUUGAAGUUGGGAGGCGUUACCAACAGAAUAAGCACCGGCUAACUUCGUGCCAGCAGCCGCGGUAAUAC